GCGUGGGUGAUGAAGCUCCGAGGAGCGUAAAGCCCUGUUAGGAGGGAAGAACAUCCCGAUUUAUCGGGACUGACGGUACCUCCAGAGAAAGCUCCGGCUAACUCCGUGCCAGCAGCCGCGGUAAUACGGGGGGAGCUAGCGUUGUCCGGAUUUACUGGGCGUAAAGGGAGUGUAGGCGGGGUGGUAAGUCAGUGGUGAAAACUUGCGGCUUAACCGUAAGCGUGCUUCUGAUACUGCCACUCUUGAGUGCGGAAGGGGGAAGCGGAAUUCCUGGUGUAGCGGUGAAAUGCGU
rnacentral:rRNA from 1 species